UAUCCCUUCGGGUUCAUCCAAUAAAAUUGGAAUGAAAAAAAGAAAAUUAGCAUGACCCCUGCACAAGAAUGAUAAGCAUAAAUCGAGAAAUGGUCCAAUAAAAU